rnacentral:misc_RNA from 1 species
UGGUGUACUAAGCUCUCGCUCAUCGCAAGAUGUUAUUUUCUAAGUUUUUCUUUUUUUAUUAUGGAGAGGAUUUGGGCCUGUAGGAACUCUCCUCAUGUCGGACUCAAAAUCUCUAACAAUUGUUGGUGCACUUGCCUGAAGUUGAGAAUUAAGUUGUUGUUUUCGCGUAAAUGAGACAUAUGGAUCGGAAAAUAGGGCCUGUGGUGGUUGCCGGAUGGCGGCGGCGGUGGUGGAGAGGAGGAGGAGGAAGAAAAUGAAAUGAAAGAGACUAUUCA